UAUAUAUAUAUAAACAAAACACAAAAUUUGUUUUUAAAUAAAGCAAUUAAAAGAUAAAAUUCUCAUUUCCAUGACAUUGUAUCACAUGAAUUCUGGAUCCUGACACAAAAAUACAGAGGAAAAUGAAACCGAUUGUGAUAAUGCUCCCAUUGAAAUGUUCUUCUGCAUGAACUGCCUUGCACUUCUUUUUCAGCUUCUGUAAGCCGCCUCCAUCUUUGGUCCUCAAUAAAUACAUACAUAUCCCCACACUAACUGAGUGGAAGGAGAAUGUUCUCCCUUUCACACUCCUCCUUCCCUUGAUUCCAUCUUCAGCCAGAUUUCUGUAUGCCCAAAUACAUUUUUGUGCACAGAUUGGCCUUCAAGCUUUGAAUUUGCAUGUGCAAAAGGGUGCUGCUGUUAAGGGGGGAGGGGGGAGUACUGAAUAUCACUUUAGGUGGAAGGAGCUGGCUUAGGUACAUGUGGACACAACCCUGAGCAAGUCAAAGCUGGCAGCAACGUGAUUGAUUUUCUCUUCAGCUGUUGUGUAAGGAUUUGAAUUGGGCCCUUGGCUUACCUGGAUAAAAGAAACAGUUUGCCUCUGGCAAUGAGUAUGAUUGACCUUAGUUAUGUGCUCUUAGCACAUGUUGGCAAAAGCUUUUGUUUUUAAAUUAAAACUUUGCAGAAAGCCAUAUACCCCUUUAGCAUGGACAUCCACCCUCUUUCAGACACUUGUACAGUGUGGGGUUCUCUCUUGAUUCACUUCAGUCCAGUUUCCCUUACUGGAGUGGAACCAACUUCUCUGGUUGCCAAAAAGCUAAUGAGUGGGAAUAUUUUCAAGUCAAAACAAAAAUAUUUCCUUCCACCCACAGUCCAAUUAUUAUGGUUUCAGAAUGCAGCUCCUGCAAAUUAGCAACACCUUAGGAACACAUGUAAUUUAGUUAACUUUGGUUUAUCACAAUCAAUAACAGAUUAGGCAAAAAAACAACAACCAUUCUUUGUCAUGGCAAACCCUUUAUUAGGGACAUAAAUUGGAUCCAUUAUUUGUUUUAAUAGGCUGCGAUGAAGGAAGCAUUUUUUUAAUUGAUUUCAAAAUAUUCCUACCCAUUAACAUGGGGAGAAUUAAUUUUAAAAGUGGAUAAUAUAAAGCAGCAGGCACUGCAAUCUGAACAAGUUCCUUACCCCUACUCUGACGCUUCAUAGGAAUGACUCUGUAAGGAAUACAGCAUUUCAGCCAAGAGCCCAUUCCAGCAGAAGCACAAAAGGAGAUGCUGUGGAGGAGACUUGAUUUGAUGGGAACCUUGCAGAAUGAAUGCAGCCUGUUUCUAGCCAUGAUUGUGCAAAAAGACUUAACUCCAAAGUAAGUGGGCAUAUGACUACAGCCUUAGUUUGUAAUUUUCUACUUAUGGCCAUUGGGCAGCUGUGGGGAGCCUUCAAAUGUUGCUGUGCCGUCAUUCUGAUCUUCCCUGAUCCAGACUGGUCAUGGUGGCUGUGGCUGAUGGAAAUUAAGCAACUUCUAAAGGGCCAAAGGUUCCCAUCUCUGCUAUAGGACAUGAAAGGUAGUACCAGAUGUUCUCUUCACACAACUUAUACUGGAAUAGAUGCAAUGAACUCAACGGAAGACAACACACACACACAGAGAGAGAGAGAGAAUGGUCUUGUCAGAUCCUGGUUCAAAUGAUCUUAUGGUGCCACAGUAGGAAAGGGCUCCUGCCUUGAGGGGCAUAAAUUAACUUUCCAUGUCUUACUUGCCAAAGGCAGAGAUAAAUCAUAUGGUUGUCCCAUCUACAUCUGGUUCUCUUAUGUCAUGGCUAUGGAGUUUGAAGCUUUGUGCUCAUUUUUAAAAAAUUCUUUGCAAGUGGUUGACACUGCAGAGGGCCAGAUGCAAGCUGCUAGUGGAAUGGGAAGCUGUUUAGGGAUUUGAGUGCAGUUAAGAGAGCACAGAUGAGCACCUCAAGGUGGGUGGGGGGGUUAGGAAAAAAUGCUAAUUUAUGUGGGCCAAGACUAGUAUGAGUGAGCAAACUCUUAGGAACUAUAGCUUCUAUUUUUGGUUUGUGACUAGGUGAGUCAGUUUUCCUUUCUGCAAAGGAUUGCUACAAUCCACCUGCAUCUUUUUUUAUUCUGAAGUGCCUGUAACCUAUCACAUGGUACAAAGAUUGACAACCAACAGCAAAGUGCUUGCUGGCUCCCAGCCAGUGAGGAGUUGGCUGUGUGCAAAUAUUCAAAGUGGCAUUUGCAGUAACAUUCCAGCAGUUGGAUCCAGUUCAUGCAAUGGUGGCACAUGACCAAGCCAGCAUGGACGGAGGGCCAAACCAGGCAGGCUUUUCUUUUGAACACCACAUGCGCAGGUGGUCAUAUGCCCAAACAGAGGCAAUUUUAACUGAGGCAUUUUCUGCACAUCCAGCAACAUGGACACUAAAUUUCAAGAGGUGCCAUUGCUUAGUAUUGCACAUCACAAUAUCUUUACAGAUCAUGAGUCCUAGGCACAAGUUGACUAGGAAUGCCUUGAUGGGGGAAAACCAGUUAUCUAUAUUCUUUGGACCACACCUGCAUGAGGCAGGUGUCAAUGAGGUGGUUCAGCAGCCACUGUGCUGAUCCCCGUAAACCAAGGAUGGGGAAACUUGUGCCUCUCCACGUGAUGCUGUACUACAUUUGCCAACAUUUCUUUUCCUUGGCUAUGCUCACUGGGAUGUAUGGAAGUUGAAUGAUCUCUAGAAAGCCACAAUUUCCCCAUCCCUAUUGUAAACUGUGGAUUAGCUAGGUCCAGCACAGGCUGAAGCACUCCCAAGUGCUCAGACAGCAAGUACUAGAAGAAUCAGUCCAGUCCAGGAAUAUUACCAUGCUGGGUAUACUUCAAACAAGAGUCUCCUAACUUUUUCCUUACAGGCAGCAGCUGCUAGGUAUUGCAGGGAACUGGGUCUUUUAGAAAUGCUGUGCCACAAUCCUCUUGGGUUUUUUUUAAGGACAUCUGUAUUAAAGGGCUUUCUGCCUUCCCGAUAUGAGUUGGCCAUCAUUAUAUUGACAGCCUCAAUGCUAUACAGGCAACUCUCCAUUUGCACAGGGGCUGCAUCCCGCAGCGAAAAAUGGCACACACACAACAUGGGAAUUGCCUGUACAUUUAGCCUGGCGUGACUCUGAUGAGGGCAAAACUGUCCACUAAGUUGGUGAAGCAAAACACUUUUCAUUGGGGGAAAUGAAAAUCUCAGACAUCAGCAAUCCACUGUCCCUUUCCGAAUGUUUUCUUAAUCUACCUCUUUCCUUACCUAACUGUUUCUGGUGUUCAUAUUAGGGAGCUGAGGC